CUACGGGUCGCUGUAGUGAGGAAUAUUGCACAAUGGGGGGAACCCUGAUGCAGCAACGCCGCGUGGAGGAUGACGCAUUUCGGUGUGUAAACUCCUUUUAUAUGUCAAGAAAAUGACGGUAGCAUAUGAAUAAGCACCGGCUAACUCCGUGCCAGCAGCCGCGGUAAUACGGAGGGUGCAAGCGUUACUCGGAAUCACUGGGCGUAAAGGACGCGUAGGCGGGUUGGAAAGUCAGUUGUGAAAUCCUACAGCUUAACUGUAGAACUGCACUUGAAACUUCUAAUCUAGAGAUGGGAGGGGGAGAUGGAAUUAGUGGUGUAGGGGUAAAAUCCGUAGAUAUCACUAGGAAUACCUAAAGCGAAGGCGAUCUCCUGGAACAUUACUGACGCUAAGGCGUGAAAGCGUGGGGAGCAAACAGGAUUAGAUACCCUCGUAGUC
rnacentral:rRNA from 1 species